GUGGGGAAUCUUGCGCAAUGGGCGAAAGCCUGACGCAGCCAUGCCGCGUGAAUGAUGAAGGUCUUAGGAUUGUAAAAUUCUUUCACCGGGGACGAUAAUGACGGUACCCGGAGAAGAAGCCCCGGCUAACUUCGUGCCAGCAGCCGCGGUAAUACGAAGGGGGCUAGCGUUGCUCGGAAUUACUGGGCGUAAAGGGCGCGUAGGCGGACAGUUUAGUCAGAGGUGAAAGCCCAGGGCUCAACCUUGGAAUUGCCUUUGAUACUGGCUGUCUUGAGUACGGGAGAGGUGAGUGGAACUCCGAGUGUAGAGGUGAAAUUCGUAGAUAUUCGGAAGAACACCAGUGGCGAAGGCGACUCACUGGCCCGUUACUGGCGCUGAGGCGCGAAAGCGUGGGGAGCAAACAGGAUUAGAAACCCUGGUAGUCC
rnacentral:rRNA from 1 species